rnacentral:rRNA from 1 species
AUGAACGCUGGCGGCGUGCUUAACACAUGCAAGUCGAACGAAGCACUUUAUUUGAUUUCCUUCGGGACUGAUUAUUUUGUGACUGAGUGGCGGACGGGUGAGUAACGCGUGGGUAACCUGCCUUGUACAGGGGGAUAACAGUUGGAAACGGCUGCUAAUACCGCAUAAGCGCACGGCAUCGCAUGAUGCAGUGUGCAAAACUCCGGUGGUAUAAGAUGGACCCGCGUUGGAUUAGCUAGUUGGUGAGGUAACGGCCCACCAAGGCGACGAUCCAUAGCCGACCUGAGAGGGUGACCGGCCACAUUGGGACUGAGACACGGCCCAAACUCCUACGGGAGGCAGCAGUGGGGAAUAUUGCACAAUGGGCGAAAGCCUGAUGCAGCGACGCCGAGUGAGCGAAGAAGUAUUUCGGUAUGUAAAGCUCUAUCAGCAGGGAAGAUAAUGACGGUACCUGACUAAGAAGCACCGGCUAAAUACGUG